rnacentral:rRNA from 1 species
UACGGAGGGUGCAAGCGUUAUCCGGAUUCACUGGGUUUAAAGGGUGUGUAGGCGGCUAUUUAAGUCAGUGGUGAAAUCUCCAGGCUCAACCUGGAAACUGCCAUUGAUACUAUUUAUCUUGAAUUCUGUUGAGGUGGGCGGAAUACAUCAUGUAGCGGUGAAAUGCUUAGAUAUGAUGUAGAACACCGAUUGCGAAGGCAGCGCACUAAACAGCGAUUGACGCUGAGGCACGAAAGCGUGGGGAUCAAACAGG